rnacentral:antisense_RNA from 1 species
GGGUGCUUGAGGCUGACUGGCCUCGGGCAUUUACCCGGAUCCAGAUAGACGAAAGCCCCAGGAGAUAUUUCUAUCAACCCGAGGCCAACGUAUGAACCUAGCAAUUCGGAUGUUAGUCUCUUCUUUGCAGGGAGGCAAGACAUGCUGACAAAGUAUG